rnacentral:rRNA from 1 species
GACGAACGCUGGCGGCGUGCUAACCCAUGCCAGUCGAACGGUAAAGCCCUUCGGGGGUCACCAAGGGCGAAACGGGGGAUAAAACGGUGGUGAACUGGCCCUGAACUUGGGAUAAGGCCGGGGAACUUGGGCUAAUACCGGAAUGGGCCACCGCCUGGCUGGGUGGGGGGGGAAAGUGUUUGCGGUGUGGGAUGGGCCCGCGGCCUAUCAGCUUGUUGGUGGGGUGAUGGCCUACCAAGGCGACGGCGGGUAGCCGGCCUGAGAGGGUGACCGGCCACACUGGGACUAAGAUACGGCCCAGACUCCUACGGGAGGCAGCAGUGGGGAAUAUUGCACAAUGGGCGCAAGCCUGAUGCAGCGACGCCGCGUGAGGGAUGACGGCCUUCGGGUCGUAAACCUCUUUCAGCACCGACGAAGCGCAAGUGACGGUAGGUGCAGAAGAAGGACCGGCCAACUACGUGCCAGCCGCCGCCGUAA